AUCCAGCUGACGAGUCCCAAAUAGGACGGAACGCGCUCCUGGAU
rnacentral:hammerhead_ribozyme from 1 species